AUUGAACGCUGGCGGCAGGCCUAACACAUGCAAGUCGAACGAGUGGCGGACGGGUGAGUAAUGUCUGGGAAACUGCCCGAUGGAGGGGGAUAACUACUGGAAACGGUAGCUAAUACCGCAUACCAUCGGAUGUGCCCAGAUGGGAUUAGCUAGUAGGGGGGGUAACGGCUCACAUAGGCGACGAUCCCUAGCUGGGCUGAGAGGAUGACCAGCCACACUGGGACUGAGACACGGUCCAGACUCCUACGGGAGGCAGAAGUGGGGAAUAUUGCACAAUGGGCGAAAGCCUGAUGCAGCCAUGCCGCGUGUAUGAAGAAGGCCUGCGGGUUGUAAAGUACUUUCAGCGAAGAGGCGUUACUCGCAGAGGAAGCCCCGGCUAACUACGUGCCAGCAGCCGCGGUAAUUC
rnacentral:rRNA from 1 species